rnacentral:rRNA from 1 species
AUUGAACGCUGGCGGCAGGCCUAACACAUGCAAGUCGAACGAGUGGCGGACGGGUGAGUACUGUCUGGGAAACUGCCUGAUGGCGGGGGAUAACUACUGGAAACGGUAGCUAAUACCGCAUAACAUCAGAUGUGCCCAGAUGGGAUUAGCUUGUUGGUGGGGUAACGGCUCACCAAGGCGACGAUCCCUAGCUGGUCGGAAAGGAGGACCAGCCACACUGGAACUGGGACACGGUCCAGCUUCGUACGGGAGGCAGCAGUGGGGAAUAUUGCACAAUGGGCGCAAGCCUGAUGAAGCAAUGCCUCGUGUAGGAAGAAGGCCUUCGGGUUGAAAAGUACUUUCAGCGGGGAGACGGUACCCGAAGAAGAAGCACCGGCUAACUCCGUGCCAGCAGCCGCGGUAAUAC